rnacentral:rRNA from 1 species
UACGUACGAGGCGAGCGUUAUCCGGAAUUACUGGGCGUAAAGCGCGCGCAGGUGGCGUGUUAAGUAGGGCGUGAAAUCUCCCGGCCUAACUGGGAGGGGUCGCCCUAGACUGGCAGGCUUGAGGCUGGCAGAGGUGGGUGGAAUUCCUGGUGUAGUGGUGAAAUGCGUAGAGAUCAGGAGGAACACCGGUGGCGAAGGCGGCCCACUGGGCCGAGCACUGACGCUGAGGCGCGAAAGCGUCGGGGAGCGAACGGGG